AACUAACGCUGGCGGCGCGCCUAAUACAUGCAAGUCGAACGAUGUAGCAAUACAUAGUGGCGCACGGGAGAGUAACACGUGGAUAAUCUCCCCUCGAGAGAAGAAUAACUAGUCGAAAGAUUGGCUAAUACUUCGUAAGACCACAGAAACAAAUGUUUCAGGGGUAAAAGUCGUAAGACGUUUGAGGAUGAGUCUGCGUCCCAUUAGCUAGUUGGUGAGGUAAUGGCUCACCAAGGCUUCGAUGGGUAGCUGGUCUGAGAGGAUGAUCAGCCUCACUGGAACUGACACACGGUCCAGACUCCUACGGGAGGCAGCAGUAGGGAAUAUUGCACAAUGGAGGAAACUCUGAUGCAGCGACGCCGCGUGAGUGAUGAAGGACUUCGGUUUGUAAGCUCUGUUGUCGAGGGAAUAAAAAAUGAAUGUACCUGACGAGAAA
rnacentral:rRNA from 1 species